UACGUAGGGGGCGAGCGUUGUCCGGAAUUAUUGGGCCUAAAGCAUCCGUAGCCGGUUCUACAAGUCUUCCGUUAAAUCCACCUGCUUAACAGAUGGGCUGCGGAAGAUACUAUAGAGCUAGGAGGCGGGAGAGGCAAGCGGUACUCGAUGGGUAGGGGUAAAAUCCGUUGAUCCAUUGAAGACCACCAGUGGCGAAGGCGGCUUGCCAGAACGCGCUCGACGGUGAGGGAUGAAAAGCUGGGGGGAGCAAAC
rnacentral:rRNA from 1 species